rnacentral:rRNA from 1 species
UACGUAGGUGGCAAGCGUUGUCCGGAUUUACUGGGCGUAAAGGGCGUGCAGGCGGUUUGUUAAGUGCAGAGUGAAAGCUCCCGACUCAACUGGGAGAGGUCUUUGCAUACUGGCAAACUCGAGGGAGGCAGAGGAAAGUGGAAUUCCCGGUGUAGUGGUGAUAUGCGUAGAUAUCGGGAGGAACACCUGUGGCGAAGGCGGCUUUCUGGGCCUUACCUGACGCUGAGACGCGAAAGCGUGGGGAGCGAACCGG